rnacentral:rRNA from 1 species
CGGACGGGUGAGUAACGACGUGGGCAACCUGCUCAUAGAGAGGAUAGCCUCCGAAAGGGAGAUUAAUACCUCAUAACAUUGCAGUUUCGCAUGGAACAGCAAUUAAAGGAGUAAUCCGCUAUGAGAUGGGCCCGCGGCGGCAUUAGCUAGUUGGUGAGGUAACGGCUCACCAAGGCGACGAUGCGUAGCCGACCUGAGAGGGUGAUCGGCCACAUUGGGACUGAGACACGGCCCAGACUCCUACGGGAGGCAGCAGUGGGGAAUAUUGCACAAUGGGGGAAACCCUGAUGCAGCCAACGCCGCGUGAGUGAUGACGGCCUUCGGGUUGUAAAGCUCUGUCUUCAGGGACGAUAAUGACGGUACCUGAGGAGGAAGCCACGGCUAACUACGUGCCAGCAGCUGC